GCUGGGCACGGUGGUGCAUGCCUGUAAUCCCAGUGGCUUGGGAGGCUGAGGCAGGAAGAUCACAAGUUUGAGGCCAGCCUCAGCAAUUUAGUGAGGCCCUAAGCAACUUAGUGAGACCCUGUCUCAA
rnacentral:sRNA from 1 species